rnacentral:rRNA from 1 species
UGGGGAAUAUUGCACAAUGGGCGCAAGCCUGAUGCAGCCAUGCCGCGUGUAUGAAGAAGGCCUUCGGGUUGUAAAGUACUUUCAGCGGGGAGGAAGGGAGUAAAGUUAAUACCUUUGCUCAUUGACGUUACCCGCAGAAGAAGCACCGGCUAACUCCGUGCCAGCAGCCGCGGUAAUACGGAGGGUGCAAGCGUUAAUCGGAAUUACUGGGCGUAAAGCGCACGCAGGCGGUCUGUCAAGUCGGAUGUGAAAUCCCCGGGCUCAACCUGGGAACUGCAUUGGAAACUGGCAGGCUAGAGUCUUGUAGAGGGGGGUAGAAUUCCAGGUGUAGCGGUGAAAUGCGUAGAGAUCUGGAGGAAUACCGGUGGCGAAGGCGGACCCCUGGACAAAGACUGACGCUCAGGUGCGAAAGCGUGGGGAGCAAACAGG